GUCCCCAUCGUCUAGUCCGGUCCAGGACAUCAGAUUUUCAUUCUGAGAACACCGGUUCAAAUCCGGUUGGGGACGCCA
rnacentral:tRNA from 1 species